rnacentral:other from 1 species
AAAUAUCUGGGAUGUCCGAUAACUCCUGUGUAUUUUGAACCUACAUAUACUGAAAGGGAUCUCAAUAUAGCUGAUCGGAUGAUAUGCCUCCAUCGAGUGGACAUCAGAAAAUCAGGUGCGAGAACCCACCUGGCCUUGGGCUAGGAGUCAGAAAGCAGGGGCCGGCACCCCCGGAUGUUUA